UACAGAGGUCUCAAGCGUUGUUCGGAAUCACUGGGCGUAAAGGGUGCGUAGGCGGCGCGGAAAGUCAGAUGUGAAAUCCGGAGGCUCAACCUCCGAAUUGCAUCCGAUACUCCCGCGCUAGAGAGUUGUAGAGGAGCUUGGAAUUCUCGGUGUAGCAGUGAAAUGCGUAGAUAUCGAGAAGAACGCUCGCAGCGAAAGCGAAGCUCUGGGCAAUUUCUGACGCUGGAUGCAUCGAAGGCUAGGGGAGCAAACGG
rnacentral:rRNA from 1 species